UAAUAAAGCAAUAACUAUAUUUUAAUUUCUAAGGAAAAAGGUAAAGGAUAUGCCCAAUUCCACAAAAUUGACAAAAUUUCACUUUUAAAUAGGCCAAGAGAUUGAAUCAUUAGAUCCCUAUUAGGAAAUCAUAAAAAUAUUUAUAAUGGGAAUUUGAACAGAUUGUGCUUGACUCAUUUUGAUUUUGAAUUGAAUCUCUUUUUGUUUCCAAUGCAAUGAAAUUCUAUCUGUGGUAGAUAGUGAAGGGAGUGGAGGUUGCACUGUGUCCAAAUGAACAGUUCCUGGGAAAAACUGCAAGGCCACAGUUGAGACAGAUAACCGGGAAAAACUAAGACGUCCUCCCCAAGGCCUUAACUGUUGAAACAAACAAGGUCACAAGAACAAGGCCUGUUCUUUUCAGCUUCUCUAUAUAUGUGCACUCCCAAUCCUACCGGGGAUGGUUCUUUUGGGGAACCGUCCUAGGGCUAGUAAAUAGACCUCUCCCUGUUGUUUUUUGCAUUGUCUUUGAGUGUUCCUUUGCGGGUUACUUCCACUCGGAACCUAACAUAGGGGGGCUCACUGGGAUGGUAGUAGGACCCCUCUAGGAAACACCAGGACAAAGGGAAGGCUCUUCCAGCUCUUGUGCUGAAACCCUGAAGGGGCUGACUCUCCCCCUUGUGACCUGUCUACCAAUCGGGGGAAGCAGUAGCUGGACACCCUUCAGAUCUCCAAGCAGGUCUCCAUUGACCUGGGACCCUGGCAUUCACUGAGGACAUGCCCCUAAAUACCCUGUGUCUUCAGCCUUUCCCUCCCUGUUCAAGUUUUGGACAAUACCCUGUGGGAUAGGACCCUGAGCUUUGUAUCCUAGUCACCAUUCUGCCCCGAGUACUAUACCAUCUGGGAUGGAGCUGCUGGACUACUGGGAACAUCAAAGAAUCAGCCACCAGUAACAAGAACCUUUCCGUGCACUGACCCUAGCCACACUCUUUGGCUUGGCAGGGAUUGGCACAGGCUUUGUAUUGUCCACCAACUGGUCUACUUUGUGAAGGACCAGGUCCACACAGUCCAGCUCAUGGUCCUCAGGCAGCAGUAUCAGGCCCUGCCAGACCCCACCCCCUUCCACGCCCAUGGCUAUGCUAAUGCCCUGCCCCUGGAGGUCUCCGCUCGCCCCUGAAUGAACAUCAUAAAAUAAAAAGAACUGGGGAAUGAAGGGAGUGAAGGUU
rnacentral:lncRNA from 1 species